UACGUAGGGUGCAAGCGUUGUCCGGAAUUAUUGGGCGUAAAGAGCUCGUAGGCGGUCUGUCGCGUCUGCUGUGAAAACUCAGGGCUUAACCCUGAGCUUGCAGUGGGGUACGGGCAGACUAGAGUGCGGUAGGGGAGACUGGAAUUCCUGGUGUAGCGGUGAAAUGCGCAGAUAGUCAGGGAGGGAACACCGGUGGCGAAGGCGGGUCUCUGGGCCGUAACUGACGCUGGAGGAG
rnacentral:rRNA from 1 species